rnacentral:lncRNA from 1 species
CUGUAGUGCACUGGCAGUGUGUGCUCAUCGAUAUGCUUGAAGGUCCUGGAGUUCUCACUGUAGCAAAUCACAAAGGGCUUCCAUUUUGUUUGUGUCUACAGCAUUGUCCCCAAACGAGACUGUUAUCCUAUCCUUAAAAGCCUUGAAACCUGGCAUUGAUGUGGCCUCCUUAUGGAUGAAAGUCCUUUCAGGCAUCUGUUUCCAGAAUAGGGAGGAUUCAUUCAUAUUGAAUAUUUGUUCUGGCAAGUAAUUUUCCUCCACAAUCAGCUUAUCUAGAGUUUCCAAAAAUUCUUAAGCUGCCUUCACAUCAACACCCACAGCCUCACCCCUCACUUUCACAUUAUGUAAUGAAUAAAGAUUCUUGAAUCUUUUAAACCACCCAGAGCGAGCAGUAAAUUCAACGUCGGAGUUGGGUCCAGCCUUUUUCCGUCAUCAUCACAAACAAAGUCUUGCUUUGGCCUUGAUCAUCAUGGUGCUGAGACGGAUGUGCUUCUGUUUCUUGUCUUCAGUCCAGGUCACUAGAAGUUUCUGCAUGUCUGACAUAGGCUCUUCUUGAAUUUUUGUUAGUCUCACUGCCUACGAUGAAGCAGAUGCUUUAACAGCUUCCAUCACUUUGUUCUUGUUUUUCAAGAGCAUAUGUGUGGUGGAAUGGGACAUGCCUGACUGGCGAGCAAUAACCGUCACUGAUUUUCCACCUUCAUAGUCUUUAAUCACUUUUUGUUUUGUUUCCAGGUCAAUCACUUGAUGUGACUCUCACUGGCAACAUUAGCAGUGGAUUUUGGAUGCUUAGGGGCCAUAAUAAACAAAAUAACACAAGAUUAAAUCAAGCACAAGAGAGAAUGAUGCAAUCAAGAGACGGUAAACACAAGUGUGGCUUGAUGAGCGGUGCUGGGUCUGCGCCCAGGAUCUGAACCUAUGAACCCCAGGCCAUGGCAGCAGAGCAUGUGAAGUUCACCACUGCACCACCAGGCAGGCACCUAUUGCUGUUGUUUUUAAGAUGUAAUUUGUUACAAGUAUUUCUAAAUCUAGAAAUUAUG